rnacentral:rRNA from 1 species
CUGGCGGCAUGCCUAAGACAUGCAAGUCGAACGAGGUGGCCCAAUGAAAGUGGAGUGCUUGCACAAAGCUGGAUUUGGUUUACCACCUAGUGGCAGACGGGUGAGUAACACGUGGGUGACCUACCUUCAAGGUUGGGGAUAACAGUUGGAAACGAUUGCUAAUACCGAAUAAGAUGCAACUGUCGUGGUUGUAUUGAAAGGAGCCUUUAAAGCUUCGCUUAAAGAUGGGCCUGCGGCGUAUUAACUAGUUGGUGAGGUAAUGGCUCACCAAGGUAACGAUGCGUAGCCGAACUGAGAGGUUGAACGGCCACACUGGGACUGAGACACGGCCCAGACUCCUACGGGAGACAGCAGUUAGGAAUAUUCGUCAAUGGGGGAAACCCUGAACGAGCAAUGCCGCGUGAGUGAUGAAGGCCCUAUGGGUUGUAAAACUCUGUUGUAUGGGAAGAACGGCUAUAUUAGGAAAUGAAUAUAGAGUGACGGUACCAUACCAGAAAGCUCCGGCUAACUACGUG